CUCCCAAUAAUUUUUGUAAUCCUGAUCCAGUGUUCUGCCAUUUUCGGCCAAUACAUGUAUUUUUUUCAAUUUGUUCCAAUUAUUUAACUGAUCUUAUCCAUGUUUUAAUUCCAUUUUGUCUUCUUAUGGAGACCAAGGCAGCCACCCUAUUGUCCCUAAAUUAUUUUGACUUCAUUCUUCUUAUUUUCGGCAGUCAACAAUUCCAUUUUGGCAGAUUAGGUGGCAAUUAGCAAUCAAAACAAAAUUUUUGGGGCUGAUUAAGGGAGAUAGAGUUGAUAUCCUUAUUAAGGUACAUGUGAAGACUUGGUUAUUUUCCUUCCAGAGUCAAUCCAAAUUCUGCCUCUCUCCUUCUCUCUUUGGUCGCAAAUAACAAGAAAUCUACAGAAACUUGAGCAACUCUUCUUCGUCAUAUAUAUACACUUACUUCUUCAAUAUCAAUAUAUAAGAUUUCUAUUCAUUGCAAUCUAUCAUUCUUCAAUCCUAACAAGAACCAAUAUCUUAAUCCAUUGUUCCAGGUUUCCUAUCAAAGUGGUUAGGAUGCUACUUUUAAGUAUUGAUAUGAGUUUUGGACUUCAAGGUGAACAUGGAUAAGAAUUGAGAUGGAUUCACGUUGAGGAUGGAAUUUAGUCUAUUUAAGAAUAGACUCUUUUGAGAAGAUUUAUUAUUUUUGAGGAGUUGAAUUAUUUAUUCAUUAUUGUAAUUGUAUUUAAAUUUGUAUGUAUUAAGCUUGAAUAUAAUUGGAUUAAUUAUUGUAAGUUGUAAGUAUUAGCCUUAGUGUUUGGGUA